rnacentral:rRNA from 1 species
ACGCUCGACACCUACGGGAGGCAGCAGUGGGGGAUAUUGCACAAUGGGGGAAACCCUGAUGCAGCGACGCCGCGUGAAGGAAGAAGGCCUUCGGGUUGUAAACUUCUGUCGUACGGGACGAUAAUGACGGUACCGUACAAGAAAGCCACGGCUAACUACGUGCCUGCAGCCGCGGUAAUCUGAGCGGGCUGGCAAGGC